GCGGGGGCGGCGGCGGCGACGAGGCGGGGCCUGGUGCCCGUCCGCCCGCCCGCUCGUUCGCUUGCUCAGUGGCGGCGGCCGGCGAAGCGCGGGGACCGGCUGGAGGUAUCAGGAGUUGAAAUGACAUAGAAAAGUCUUCAAAAGUGCUGACUGCGAAAUGAGCUCCUUCCACUUGAUGCUGAAAGGAGGUAAACUGAAACUCCAAGAAUGAUGAUCAGCUCAUUGGCCAGUUACAGGAAAAACACAUACAAGGCAACUAAAUAAAGACU